rnacentral:rRNA from 1 species
UACGUAGGGUGCAAGCGUUGUCCGGAAUUAUUGGGCGUAAAGAGCUCGUAGGCGGUUUGUCGCGUCGACUGUGAAAACCCGAGGCUUAACCUCGGGCCUGCAGUCGAUACGGGCAGACUAGAGUUCGGUAGGGGAGACUGGAAUUCCUGGUGUAGCGGUGAAAUGCGCAGAUAUCAGGAGGAACACCGGUGGCGAAGGCGGGUCUCUGGGCCGAUACUGACGCUGAGGAGCGAAAGCGUGGGGAGCGAACGGG